GAUUUACAAAAUUUGUUUUUUUUUCCUUUUGCCCUUAGCCUCCGUCGUUUCCUCUCUUCUCUUUUGCGAUUUCGAAGCCGCCCUCACGCGACUUCGAAGCCGCCGGCCCUACUUCGGACUCUUCCAUCUUACUCUCCCCACCGUGUGCCGACGCAGAAGACGCCGACCACAUUCCCAUCGUCACCGACCGCACGAGCCCUCUGCUACCGACAUGGGGUCUUCGCCCAACCUCUUCUCUAUUCAUCAUCGUCUUGGUGACCUAAGCAGGGCACUGCCCCGGCCGCCGCCAAGGACUUGAGAUCCUUGGCAGUCUUCUGACAGAGACCCGACCCUUGCCCUCAACGCAGUCGAUGUCCGCACGCCCUGCCCUCAACGUAGCCGAAUUGGGUCACUUAUUAAUAACGGAUUGGAUCUUCCUGGUCCCUUUGAUUCCUCUACGAGAGUUGGUUAAGGAUUUGAGUUCGAAGCAAACCCUCUGACUAGAUGGUUUGGACACUCUACAUUUUCUACAUUUGAGAUGGGAAAGUGAAAGUGAGGAUGAUGGUCUUGACAUGGGUGAUGAUGAUGAUGUUGAGGAACCUGAAAAUGAACCAGAGACUGUUAGGAAAGAACCAAUCAUUGAGAAACCUGCUCCUGUUUCAGCACCACCCAAAGAUGCUGAAAGGCAACUGUCAAAGAAGGAGCUUAAGAAAAAGGAAAUGGCAGAGCUGGAUGCACUUCUACAUGAAAUGGGCAUUGCAAAUUUUAAUUAGUUUAUUUUUGAUAGAUAGUAUAUUUUAAUUCACUUGAGUUGCUUCAUACAUAUGAAGCGAUUGUUUAAUGUGUGUUAAAUUUGUUUAUCCUUGUUAUGCAGACAAGAAGCAAUUGGAGCAAAGUAGUGAAGGGGAGAAGAAAGAAAGUGCUGGUGCUCCUUCAGAGAACAGAAUCUUAAAGAAGAAGAAAUCCAAGAAAGAAAAAUCAUCAAAGGAACAGGAGGAGCAUGAUCAGAAUCAGGAGAAAGAAGACAUUGAAGCUGAAGUGGCAGAUGCAUCUCCAGUUGACGUAAAGGAAAGGAUAAAGAAGGUGGCCUCCAUGAGGUAGAAGAAAUCAAGCAAAGAGAUGGAUGCCGAACAGUUGAAUAAAAGGACUUCUUACUUAAGUAGUAGGCUAAUUGGUACCUCAACUAGUAAAUUGGUGGAUACGGACUUGAUGUGUAUAAUAUUUAUGUGGAUACGGAUUUGAUGUGUAUAAUAUUUAUAUGUUGGUUACAUGGAUAUUGACUUGUUUGUAUAA